CGACCGAGACCCCAUGUCAGGCGGAUUACCC
rnacentral:rRNA from 2 species